GAACUACAAAGUAGAGUUUGUCUUUUUUUGGUAAACCUUCCUAAAAUUCUUGAAACUUUAGGGGUGAUAUUUGAAAAUUUUAAAACAUUAGGAGAGGUGACUAUGUUUUUUGCCAAAAAUUUUGUUUAAUUCACAAAAAUAAUGUACCGAUCACUUAGAUUGAUGGACGGCGGAGGGUCGAGCUCGCGACAUUGCGCAACCAAAAGUAGGGUUUCCCUAUAAAUACCAGUGAGCCACCACUUCUCUCGCAAAUUCCCGAUUCACUUGCAGCGCAGCCGUCCUCUGAAAGCUAGGGUUCUGAAGUUGAGAAGAACAAAUCUCACGUUCGCCUCAUUACCAUGAGGGCCAAGUGGAAAAAGAAGCGUAUGAGGAGGUUGAAGAGGAAGCGACGAAAGAUGAGGCAGAGAUCCAAGUAGUCAGAUAAAUCGAUUGUCCUUCAAGUCAAUUCCGUCUUUUCCUUGAAGAGCCCAUUUGUUUUUUCGCGUGUUUUGUCUUUAUUAGUACUGAUAGAUUAAAGACUAGUACCGUUAACCUUUGUUGCGAUGUUUUUAUUAGGCUUAGUUUUGUGAACCUCAUUCCCUGGAAUAUGAUAUCUUUUAUAAUUUCCUAA